rnacentral:lncRNA from 1 species
UUUCUUUUCAUUUUUCUUUAUGUGUAAUGGUUCCAUUUCUUUAUUUUGUUCAAGUCAUAAAAUUGAGUCAAUACUCUGUCAAAUAUAAAAAUCAUAAAAUUCGAAAUAUCUUGAUUCUUGAAUGCAUUUAUAUAUAGGGCUAUGUUUCAAUCCUUUUUUUUUAUUUUAAGUCUAACUAAAUAGUGAUGCAAUGAUAAAUUUUCACUAGUUUGUUUAGG